AAUCAACGCUGGCGGCGUGCCUCAGACAUGCAAGUCGAACGAUUAAACUUGCCUUCGGGCAAGAUAUAAAGUGGCGCACGGGUGAGUAACACGUAAGUAAUCUACCUUUCGAGUGGGGAAUAACGUCGGGAAACCGACGCUAAUACCGCAUAAUGCAGCGGCACCUAAUGGUGACAGUUGUUAAAGGAGCAAUUCGCUUGAAGAGGAGCUUGCGGCAGAUUAGCAGUUGGUAAGGUAAUGGNUUACCAAGGCUACGAUCUGUAAACCGUCUAAGAGGACGGUCGGUCACACUGACACUGAAUAACGGGUCAGACUCCUACGGGAGGCAGCAGUGGGGAAUAUUGGACAAUGGGCGCAAGCCUGAUCCAGCAAUGCCGCGUGAGUGAAGAAGGUCUUCGGAUGU
rnacentral:rRNA from 1 species